UACGUAGGGGGCUAGCGUUGUCCGGAAUCAUUGGGCGUAAAGCGCGUGUAGGCGGCCCGGUAAGUCCGCUGUGAAAGUCGGGGGCUCAACCCUCGGAUGCCGGUGGAUACUGUCGGGCUCGAGUACGGAAGAGGCGAGUGGAAUUCCUGGUGUAGCGGUGAAAUGCGCAGAUAUCAGGAGGAACACCUGCGGCGAAGGCGGGUUGCUGGGCUGACACUGACGCUGAUGCGCGAAAGCGUGGGGAGCAAACAGG
rnacentral:rRNA from 1 species